rnacentral:rRNA from 1 species
AACGAACGCUGGCGGCGUGCCUAACACAUGCAAGUCGUACGAGAAAAUCCGCUUCGGCGGGUGAGUAAAGUGGCGCACGGGUGAGUAACGCGUGGAUAAUCUGCCUUUAAGCGGGGAAUAACUUACCGAAAGGUGGGCUAAUACCCCAUAAAGCUAUGGAGCUCCGGUUUUCAUAGCCAAAGAGAGCCUCUGCAUGCAAGCCCUCACUUAGAGAUGAGUCCGCGUACCAUUAGCUAGUUGGUGGGGUAAUGGCCUACCAAGGCGACGAUGGUUAGCUGGUCUGAGAGGAUGAUCAGCCACACUGGAACUGAGACACGGUCCAGACUCCUACGGGAGGCAGCAGUGAGGAAUAUUGCGCAAUGGGGGCAACCCUGACGCAGCAACGCCGCGUGAGUGAGGAAGGUUUUCGGAUCGUAAAGCUCUGUCGGGUGGGAAGAAAUGUAUGGAGGUUAACAGCCUUUGUACUUGACGGUACCGCCAAAGGAAGCACCGGCUAACUCCGUG